rnacentral:misc_RNA from 1 species
CAGAGUUAUCCAACUCCCAAACCCAUGUGAACUUAUCUCUUUGUUGCCUCGGCGCAAGCUACCCGGGACCUCGCGCCCCGGGCGGCCCGCCGGCGGACAAACCAAAGCUCUUGUUAUCUUAGUUGAUUAUCUGAGUGUCUUAUUUAAUAAGUCA